rnacentral:rRNA from 1 species
CUACGGGGGGCUGCAGUGGGGAAUAUUGGGCAAUGGGCGCAAGCCUGACCCAGCAACGCCGCGUGAGGGAGGAAGGUUUUCGGAUUGUAAACCUCUGUCCUUGGGGACGAAGAAGUGACGGUACCCAAGGAGGAAGCUCCGGCUAACUACGUGCCAGCAGCCGCGGUAAUACGUAGGGAGCAAGCGUUGUCCGGAAUUACUGGGCGUAAAGGGUGCGUAGGCGGCAUAUUAAGUCAGGUGUGAAAUACUCGGGCUCAACCCGGGGGCUGCAUUUGAAACUGAUAUGCUUGAGUGUGAGAGAGGAAAGUGGAAUUCCUAGUGUAGCGGUGGAAUGCGUAGAUAUUAGGAGGAACACCAGUGGCGAAGGCGACUUUCUGGCUCAUAACUGACGCUGAGGCACGAAAGCGUGGGGAGCAAACAGGAUUAGAUACCCCCGUAGUC